rnacentral:lncRNA from 1 species
CUAUUUAAACAUAAAUAUUGACAUUUGUAUGGUGCCUCUCACCUCAGAUUCAUUCAUUCAAUAGAUAUUUAAUAGAUGUAGCAGGCAUUGUUGUAGGAACCAGGGAUACAGCAGUGAGGGAAUAAGCUGAAGUUCUUUUUUUUAAUUAAAAAAAUUUUUUUAGAGACAGGGUUUUGCUGUUGCCCAGCAUUCUGGUAGCCAAAGACAAUAGGGAAAUCAACAAGUACACAAGUAAUACUAUUAAUGGCAAUAAGUGCUGUAGGAAAACAUAAAGAAGAGUAAGGAGAAUAGAGUUGGGGGCAGGGGCAUGGAGUUUAAGAACUGCUAUUUGGCUGGGCUAAAGUUAAAGUGACUUUCUAAGGGACAGAACAAGGACUAGAAAUCAUGUUCCUUGGCUUCCAGUCUUGUGUUUUCUUAUAAAUCCUCUAAAGGAAAUAUAAGAAACCUUAUCCUCUUGAACAUCUGAAGCUCUUUUUUGCCAAUGCAAGGUAAGGAAGGAUUUCGGCACCUGGAAGGUACUCAGUAGCUGGAGUCCGGUUAUGGGAAGAUAAAUAUCAAGAAUGAUUAGAAGGAAAAAAAGUAUUAUAGGUACUAAGGAGAAGGACGGUCUUAAUUUAAAAAAUUGAAUUGUAUUGUAUGGAGAGCUGAUUUUUUUCCUCCUCAUCUUCUUUGUGAUGGCACAGAGAGCUGAAUUUUCUUUAAAACAGUUUUAUUACUUUUU